rnacentral:rRNA from 1 species
UACGUAGGGGGCAAGCGUUGUCCGGAAUCAUUGGGCGUAAAGAGCGUGUAGGCGGUCCGGUAAGUCGGCUGUGAAAGUCCAGGGCUCAACCCUGGGAUGCCGGUCGAUACUGCCGGACUAGAGUUCGGAAGAGGCGAGUGGAAUUCCCGGUGUAGCGGUGAAAUGCGCAGAUAUCAGGAAGAACACCCGUGGCGAAAGCGGCUCUCUGGAACGGUACUGACGCUGAGACGCGAAAGCGUGGGGAGCGAACAGG